GCCAGCGCGCGCGCCCAACGCCGGCACUGUCUUCGCGGAACUCUCUCCAGGGACUAACGGCCGUUCCGCGCCACGCACGCACUGGCAAGAUGGCUGCGGCCGGGGGAGGAGCUUGGAGUCAGCCGCCACCGAACUCGGCCGGGGAUUGAGCGGACUGCGGCUGCGUGGCGCCGGCGACAGCGUCAAUAUUUGUAUGCGAAAAGAAAACUUGCAGUUGGCUCCAUAGCUCAGGGGGGGAGACGAUGGCACUACCGCGCCCCUUCCCGCCCCGCGUUUGUUUGCUGCGUUUGUUUGCGGCGUUCCCCCACGCGCGCGCUGAGGCUCUGGUCUGCGCUUGGCGGCUGCGCGCCCUCGGCGUUCGGGUCCCCGCCGCCUCGGUGCUGCAGACUCUGACUUCUUCCUGUGGAGUUAACACAGAAAAGCGCAGACGGCCACAUUCAAGGCCCGGGACUAACGGCUCUACCUGUCACAUUCGCUUUCAGCCUUAAACAAAAUUAGUUUAUUUUAAACAAAAUAUAUAACUAAUGUAUGCUGGCCUUCUGAUUUAUUCCUGCUGUUACCGGAAGUGUAGAAAGUGAGCCCAAGUCCUCAGUGAACAGUGGGGGCGCUGCCCAGGUGCAGGACGGGCACCCGGGGGUCUCGGGACGGCUCCUGCCUGGGUCUUCCCAGCACCGCGCGCUUUGGAGGCCUGGGCACAGGCGGAGGCGGGGCUGGGUCCCGCCGCACACUCCCCUGUCGCAGGCGCCCUCUCUCCAGCCGGAGGGGACCUCAAGAAGCCCGUCCCACGUGGGGCCGCGGCUUAUACAGGGACCACUUCAGGGUUCGAAAACGGAACCCCGGCCGGGUGCACCGCAGAAGAGAAAAUCGCUCGCGGCCACCUGGGUAGAGACCCUUGACUGGGCGGCGUGGAGGAGCGAGCGGGGUCUGCAGCUCCGGCCAGCAGGUACGCACUUCCCUCCCUCACCCACGCCGGCUCCGGUCCAGAGAGCCGAGACUGUGGGUCCAGACCGGGACGGAUUCGCUGGGACAGGCCAGGAGCCCGCCAGCACAUGCGGGGACUCGCGCGCCCGGGGCUCCUCGGACUCGUCGACCCCGAAACGCCUGCCCCACAGGAAGAUCACCCCACUGUAGAAGUCGGGUCACGGGGACCAGCGGCGAGCUACCUGAGGGCUUGACUGCAAACACCCUCCCGACGAAAACCAUGGACUCCCGGGGUGCGAGCGUGUGACCGUUUUGGGGGGUGUUGGCAGACGGUCCCCAUAAUAAUCGAACAACCAGGUGGAAGAACCUCAGGCCUCGCACUCUGGGGCUCUCAGAGUCUGGGCGUUGCAGCCGCUCCCGUACACCCCCGGGUCACCUGGCUGAAUCCGGUGGGAGCUGCUGAGGUGCCGGGAGGUCUCCCAGGCUGGCGCUCCCGUCCAGCUGUUGGUGGAGGCGCGCGUGCGAGGCUUGGGACAAGGGAGAGCUAUGCCGGGUGGGGCAGACCCUUGGGGCGGGUUGGUUCACCCGAAAUGUUCACUGUGGGAAGAGCCGAAAGCCAGCCACGGCACCAGGAGAGUCCAGCGUGGAGAGGCAGAGAGGAAGGACGAGUGCAGCGGCGCUCGCAGACGGCGGAGCAAGAUCGCCGGGAGUGCGAAUGGAAACAGGGGCAUUGUUUCCUCGGAGUGGCUUAACCACCAUCCCACGCUGUUUUACAGCAGUGUAGGAAAUGUCUCUGCUGGUGACACAAAAAUAAACCUGUGGCUCAGCGCUGAGUAGAUUAUCGCGAAUUUUACAGCAGGAAAUCCGUAUCACUAUCUUUACUGCUAAAUAAACCAGUGCAAUUAAAGCGCGCAGGGCGAGAGUAUGUCGAGGCGAGCAAAGAGGAGCGCGCCCGCCCAGCUCCAGCCUCAGGCUUGCCCUGUGCUGGAGGCGGCCCGCGGGCAAUCCCAGGAGAACGCGGCGAGGUCUGUGAGCCAGGACCCCCGGCGACCCCCGGGAGCGCGCGCCCGUGGGUCCAGCCUCCGAGCUGUGCGACAACCCGGUGGCCAGAGUCACCACGAGAAGACAGAGUUCGCGGUCAUCGGUCGUUUCUGCCUUACACUUUCCUACAUUUCCUGAACAUUUUGCAAAUGGGUAUGUCCUGCUUGUUAUCUUUUCAUAAAACGCUAAGAGCCGCUUCUCGGGGCUCCUCACCCAACUGGUCCGGCGUUCCCUCCCAGCACUGCGCUCUCUCCCGAGCCCUCCGGCUCUGCCAACCUCUGCGUCCUGCGCCUAGGCCUCAAGAUUUGCACCUUUCUUGAACUCCCUUGGGAAGGGACGCCCAGGCUGCAGAACGGAUGGACGCCCCUGCCUGCUACUCGAGUGGAUCCAGCAGGGAGGCGCUCACUCGGAUUCCAGGAGACCAGAGGAGACAGGGCAUACGGAGCGUUUACCCGGUGUGGAGCUACCGGCGGCUGAGAAUUAGCGGCAGACGCGAAGAUGGGCAGCGGGGACAGGUUGGGCUUGGGAGACUAUGAGACUUUUGAGAAUGGUUUCAAGCUGCCAGAAAGAAAUCCUCCUUUUUGGUGAAUUGAUCCGUGAAGCACACAAUGUUGAAAAUAUUCAGCAAGUUUGUUAACAGCCGGCUCGUUGGUCUAGGGGUAUGAUUCUCGCUUUGGGUGCGAGAGGUCCCGGGUUCAAAUCCCGGACGAGCCCAGUUUUUGUUUUUUUCAUUUCAACUAAAUUUCUUCCUGUUCA